UUGCCCCUGGUGGUGGGGGAGUAGCCGGGCUAACGCCCGGGUAAUACCGCAUACGGUCCUUCGGGGGAGUCCCUGGGGGAAGAAAGCUCUGGCGCACGGGGAGGGGGUCGCGGCCUAUCAGCUAGUUGGUGCGGUAACGGCGCACCAAGGCGACGACGGGUAGCUGGUCUGAGAGGAUGGCCAGCCACAUUGGGACUGAGAGACGGCCCAG
rnacentral:rRNA from 1 species